ACGAGUGUAGUGUAGUGGUUAUCACCGGGCGUUGCCAACGCCUGAACCCGGGUUCAAAUCCCGGCACUCGUACCA
rnacentral:tRNA from 11 species